GACGAACGCUGUCGGCGUGCUUAACACAUGCAAGUCGAACGGAAAGGCCCUGCUUUUGUGGGGUGCUCGAGUGGCGAACGGGUGAGUAACACGUGAGUAACCUGCCCUUGACUUUGGGAUAACUUCAGGAAACUGGGGCUAAUACCGGAUAGGAGCUCCUGCUGCAUGGUGGGGGUUGGAAAGUUUCGGCGGUUGGGGAUGGACUCGCGGCUUAUCAGCUUGUUGGUGGGGUAGUGGCUUACCAAGGCUUUGACGGGUAGCCGGCCUGAGAGGGUGACCGGCCACAUUGGGACUGAGAUACGGCCCAGACUCCUACGGGAGGCAGCAGUGGGGAAUAUUGCACAAUGGGCGGAAGCCUGAUGCAGCAACGCCGCGUGCGGGAUGACGGCCUUCGGGUUGUAAACCGCUUUCGCCUGUGACGAAGCGUGAGUGACGGUAAUGGGUAAAGAAGCACCGGCUAACUACGUGCCAGCAGCCGCGGUGAUACGUAGGGUGCGAGCGUUGUCCGGAUUUAUUGGGCGUAAAGGGCUCGUAGGUGGUUGAUCGCGUCGGAAGUGUAAUCUUGGGGCUUAACCCUGAGCGUGCUUUCGAUACGGGUUGACUUGAGGAAGGUAGGGGAGAAUGGAAUUCCUGGUGGAGCGGUGGAAUGCGCAGAUAUCAGGAGGAACACCAGUGGCGAAGGCGGUUCUCUGGGCCUUUCCUGACGCUGAGGAGCGAAAGCGUGGGGAGCGAACAGGCUUAGAUACCCUGGUAGUCCACGCUGUAAACGGUGGGUACUAGGUGUGGGGUCCAUUCCACGGGUUCCGUGCCGUAGCUAACGCUUUAAGUACCCCGCCUGGGGAGUACGGCCGCAAGGCUAAAACUCAAAGGAAUUGACGGGGCCCCGCACAAGCGGCGGAGCAUGCGGAUUAAUUCGAUGCAACGCGUAGAACCUUACCUGGGUUUGACAUGGAUCGGGAGUGCUCAGAGAUGGGUGUGCCUCUUUUGGGGUCGGUUCACAGGUGGUGCAUGCCUGUCGUCAGCUCGUGUCGUGAGAUGUUGGGUUAAGUCCCGCAACGAGCGCAACCCUUGUUCACUGUUGCCAGCACGUUAUGGUGGGGACUCAGUGGAGACCGCCGGGGUCAACUCGGAGGAAGGUGGGGAUGACGUCAAGUCAUCAUGCCCCUUAUGUCCAGGGCUUCACGCAUGCUACAAUGGCUGGUACAGAGAGUGGCGAGCCUGUGAGGGUGAGCGAAUCUCGGAAAGCCGGUCUCAGUUCGGAUUGGGGUCUGCAACUCGACCUCAUGAAGUCGGAGUCGCUAGUAAUCGCAGAUCAGCAACGCUGCGGUGAAUACGUUCCCGGGACU
rnacentral:rRNA from 1 species